rnacentral:rRNA from 1 species
UGGGGAAUAUUGCACAAUGGGCGAAAGCCUGAUGCAGCAACGCCGCGUGAGUGAUGAAGGCCUUCGGGUUGUAAAGCUCUGUCUUUUGGGACGAUAAUGACGGUACCAAAGGAGGAAGCCACGGCUAACUACGUGCCAGCAGCCGCGGUAAUACGUAGGUGGCAAGCGUUGUCCGGAUUUACUGGGCGUAAAGGAUGCGUAGGCGGAUUUUUAAGUGAGAUGUGAAAACCCUAAGCUUAACUUGGGGGACUGCAUUUCAUACUGGAAAUCUAGAGUGCGGGAGAGGAGAAUGGAAUUCCUAGUGUAGCGGUGAAAUGCGUAGAGAUUAGGAAGAACACCAGUGGCGAAGGCGAUUCUCUGGACCGUAACUGACGCUGAGGCAUGAAAAGCGUGGGUAGCAAACAGGAUUAGAUACCCUGGUAGUCCACGCCGUAAACGAUGAGUACUAGGUGUAGGAGGUAUCGACCCCUUCUGUGCCGCAGUUAACACAAUAAGUACUCCGCCUGGGAAGUACGAUCGCAAGAUU